rnacentral:rRNA from 1 species
UAGGGAAUCUUCGGCAAUGGGGGCAACCCUGACAGAGCAACGCCGCGUGAGUGAAGAAGGUUUUCGGAUCGUAAAGCUCUGUUGUAAGAGCAGAACGUGUGUGAGAGUGGAAAGUUCCCACAGUGACGGUAACUUACCAGAAAGGGAAGGCUAACUACGUGCCAGCAGCCGCGGUUAUACGUAGGUCCCGCGCGUUGUCCGGAUUUAUUGGGCGUAAAGCGAGCGCAGGCGGUUUAAUAAGGCUGAAGUUAAAGGCAGUUGCUUAACCAUUGUCCGCUUUGGAAGCUGUUAAACUUGAGUGCAGAAGAGGAGAGUUGAAUUCCAUGUAGCGCAGAAAUGCGUAGAUAUAUGGAGGAGUACCGGUGGCGAGAACGGGUCUCUGGUGUGUAACUGACGCUGAGGCUCGAAAGCGUGUGGAGCAAACAGG